CCAAGAGACGUAUGAACAAUUAGAGCUGCUAACUCAAAUAACUAAAAAUAAAAUUUUUAGGUCUCUUACU
rnacentral:tRNA from 1 species